AUUGUAUAAACGGGACCUUGAAAAUUAAUUGGGUAAAAUCUAAACAAACGACAACUUCUGGUUCCAUAUUCCCAGAGAAAUAUUCAGGAAAUUGGUAGGGAUCAAAUUUUUACUUAGAUAUGAUUUCAGUAUUCAAUGUUUCCUGUUUAAAUUAUCCCAUUUUCACCAGCAGGUCAUGUUAUAUUGGAAACAGUUGCACCUCCUGGAUUAUUUUCAAUGCUGUAAUUACAAAACUAAAAGAUCGGAGACGCCCACUUUGAAGAUAAAACCUUUCGUAGCAUGUGAAAAUGCGCCGUUAUAUUUUUACUGUUUACUGUUUUACUGCAGGAUCACUAAAAAUCCACCACUAAAUAUUGUUCAUUCACACACACACACACACCACGGCCCUUCCUGCUCUGCAGAAUAAACCAGAUAAACCAGUUAGACGGUGUCAAUAAAAGUAAAACUAGGCAGCUCCAUUUUGUGUCGAGGGGAAAAUAAACCAUUGAACCACUGAACUCUGUGCUGAUACAGGGUUUGAUUUAACACACCGAUGGAGUUAAGUGAACGUGUGUCCUGCUGUAAUCUGGAGAAGGAGACAUGACCUCCAACAUGAGUGUGUCUUGAGAACAGGACUUAAAGAAAGACAAGAGAAUGAUGGAGGGAAAGAGAUCAGACCCACCAGAACCCAGCUUUGUGUCCAUGAAGAGUGAGGAGUCAUUGGGACUUCCACUUGAUUUCAGAGACGGAGCCAGUCCUCGUGAUGUGAGACCACAAAAGAAGAAAUCAAACAUCAGCAGAAAUCAGCUGGACUCCAUAUUCAAGG